rnacentral:rRNA from 1 species
AGUGAACGCUGGCGGUAGGCCUAACACAUGCAAGUCGAACGGCAGCACAGUAAGAGCUUGCUCUCACGCGUGGCGAGUGGCGGACGGGUGAGGAAUACAUCGGAAUCUACUUUUUCGUGGGGGAUAACGUAGGGAAACUUACGCUAAUACCGCAUACGACCUACGGGUGAAAGCAGGGGAUCUUCGGACCUUGCGCGAUUGAAUGAGCCGAUGUCGGAUUAGCUAGUUGGCGGGGUAAAGGCCCACCAAGGCGACGAUCCGUAGCUGGUCUGAGAGGAUGAUCGGCCACACUGGAACUGAGACACGGUCCAGACUCCUACGGGAGGCAGCAGUGGGGAAUAUUGGACAAUGGGCGCAAGCCUGAUCCAGCCAUACCGCGUGGGUGAAGAAGGCCUUCGGGUUGUAAAGCCCUUUUGUUGGGAAAGAAAAGCAGCAGGUUAAUACCCCGCUGUUCUGACGGUACCCAAAGAAUAAGCACCGGCUAACUUCGUG